rnacentral:tRNA from 1 species
AAAUAUUUAGAUUUAGCAUUACUUAAACAAUCUAAAAAAGUGUGUAAUUUAUUAAAUAAAAGUGUUUUC